UACGAAGGGGGCUAGCGUUGCUCGGAAUCACUGGGCGUAAAGCGCACGUAGGCGGAUUGCUAAGUCGGAGGUGAAAUCCUGGAGCUCAACUCCAGAACUGCCUUCGAUACUGGCGACCUUGAGUCCGGGAGAGGUGAGUGGAACUCCGAGUGUAGAGGUGAAAUUCGUAGAUAUUCGGAAGAACACCAGUGGCGAAGGCGGCUCACUGGCCCGGUACUGACGCUGAGGUGCGAAAGCGUGGGGAGCAAACAG
rnacentral:rRNA from 1 species